ACAAAAUAAACACACAUUACAUCGCAUGGCUCAUGCUUCACCCAGUUUUACAGAGACUAAUCUCCAUAUUUUUAUGAUGAUUAAAUACUUUUAAGAUUUCCAGAAAAUUCCAGAAACCAGCUGUUAUUCGCUUUAAACGAAUCAGAAUGCUGUUGCUUCAAAUGCCAUCAUGAGGAAUCAAAUUGUUCUGCGGCCCACUGGAUAUCGGCCUGGCAGAGCAUUUGGACAUUAUCGUUCAGGGGAGGAAGAACGGUACUGAUGGGAACACAGAAACACAUUUCACCGCAUGCUGAUCUGACGAUAAAACGCGGUCUUCUUGUUAAGAGCACCUAACAUCACUACAAGAUUUUUCCAGCACCUUUAAAAGUACACAGUGUAUCUGAACAUUUUGACCAUUAAACCUGAACAUGUCUAUAAAACCGGAAUCAGCCAAUUUUCACUUUUUUUAUUUUAAUUUUAAAAAAAAGUAAAAAACAAAUCACAAAACUAAAAGGAACAUUUACUUUGAUGUAAUAAUCUUCCUUGAUUUGUUUUGUCAGAUUUCAAAACUGCUACGUCUUUUAAAAAACCUGCAGCAUAUUUUUCCACUUUUAAAAGCGAAAUAAUCCCUAAGGGGGAAAAAACAUAUCUAACUGUCAAGUCAGAACUCAAAAGAAAACCUGAAGUUGGUUUUGGUCAGGAAAAACUUGAUCCGUGCAUCUCUAGACAUCACUUUAAAUGCAUAACAGCAGCAAUACCAACAGCGUAAUUCUGAGUGGACUAAGGAAUACAGCGAAUACGCUAAGGAGGAGUUUGGGUAAGUUAGAGUUCAACUUUACAGAUCUAAAACCUCAAGGUGAAUUAUUUGGAAAUGUCCUUGCAAAGACCAAAAGAGAAAUUAUGACAACAUAGUUAGCUUCAGGUUUGCACCCAGGAAUUCAGCGAGUCACUAUUUUACAGAGUUUUUGGCACCAGGGUUGUCCCAGAUCACUUCCACCUCAAAAUCUCUUAAUUUUAACCCUGUUUAAUCUGGACAGGAUCAUUUUGAUCUAAAUACAGAUUCUUUGACACACAGAUUACGGUCUGUGAAACUUUUGUUUAAAUUUAGAAAAGUUUAAUCCCAAUGGCUUUUCAUUUCAUACAAUACCCAAGGUUGACCCAAAAUUAGCAACAUAAUACUUAAAAAAAGAAAGAAAUAAAAAGUAUAUUUUUUGGGUUUUACAAAAUAUGUAUUUUUAAUCAGAAACUUUAUUAGGAUCUAUGAGUCUGCGGCUGCUGCUCCAGUUUAUUAACUGGUCAGUAUGCCAGUGGAUGCACUGUCCUAUAAAAACUGCCUUUUAUUUGCUAAUGCAGCUUGUCACACGAAAACAUACAGAAAAUAGCAUUAUUUUUUUUAUAUUCAUGUUUAUGACUUGACAUUGGGCUUAUUUGAGAGAGUUUGGUCCAACUAUAAUUUAGCUCAAUGCACGUAGAAUUUGCAAAUCAACCAAAUAGUCUGUUUGUGACAUUUUCCAAGCAUCUCCAAACUGACUGAUGUGAUACAUCAACACAUGCAAAUUAGACCGGGCAAUGUCCAGAUUCCAACAAAAAAUCAGAAGUUGUUUCUUAAUUUCAGGAUUUGACAACAUGUUUUAUUUGAAAAUGAAUGUAUCUUUUUGUUUUAAAGCAGGAUAUUCCCUGCAGCUGUUUUUAGUUGGUGAAAACAACACGCUGUACACCAACCGGUGUGACCUUUGGGUUGAAUCACAGGUUUAUUACAAGCCAAUUAACUAAUAUUUAUGGUGACUGCUAGUUUGUGUUUUACUUUGGGCGACAACCUUUCACAACUUUCGAUAUAAAUUGAGGAACAUAAACCUCCACAGAAUGUCAGCUUUUAAAAAACACUGAAAUGGUACUUUUUAACCCGCGCACAUGACACUUAUUACCAUUUCGGAUAAAAUACCUUGUUUUGACAUACAAGUCUUAUGGCAUACAACAGUUCUGAUACCAAGCUCUGGUUUGUGAACCAGAGCUUGACCUACUGUAGUCCAGAUAACAAUAAAAGCGGUGAAAUAGCCCUUUAACCUGCAGCUGGAUCAAAAGCCAACUUCAGCAUCAUUGAGAAAAACAAAAGAGAACUGGACGCUUUUUACUUUAAAAAAUGGUUCACUAUCUAUACAAAGCGAUUUGUUUAAGCAAUUCAGAUUUCUUCCCUGAAUGACUAAAUAUGUAAACAGAGAUGACGAGAAAACAACUCAUCUCUCAGGGAGUAACAUUGUUGUCUCUCUGCUAAUGAAUACCCCGAAACGUUCUUUUAAUGACGAGGAGGAAGUACAUUUCAGGUAGAUGCUGUGCAUAUUCGAGCAAAGUACUGAAAAACGGGAAGGACAGGCCAUAAUUCAGGGACACUGGCAGCUAAAUACGCACAGCGACUGUUCAUGUAUGAAUGAAAACAAGCCAUGAUGUCACGCCAGCAGCACACUGACAUUUAGCUCCCACCUAGCUUACAGCUAGUUAGCGAAAACAGCAAUCCACAAGAUUCUCCUGGAGGUGUCAAGACAAUGGAUAGGAGUGUAGCCUAAAAGACCUGGACCAAACUUCACCAGAAAUCCUGUCUCCAGUAUCUCCCGAGCUAUACGCAUCUUUCUCAUCAAUCACACAGCGUGUCCCGUGGGAAGACGCCGAGCAGAGGCCUGGAGGUUCUUUGUUAGAGAACAUUAGUGAAAGAACAACAUCAUGAAGACACAGGAACACAGGAGGUCAGUAAUAAAGGGGCCGCGGAGCUGGAGGACCGAAGGUGUGACAGGUGUUCUUCAUUGACUCAUCAGUUCAGAGGACUAUAUGAGGGCGGCUCCCCUGCACUUCUGUGCCUGAGUGUUUUUGCCCUUCGUGGCACCUCAGCCUUGCUCCUUGUUGAAGAUCUCAAGAAAACCUCUGAUCACAGUCUGGAUUCUGGAUUCAUUCCAUGCAGCGGGCCGCCCUGGAUACCUCUCUGUCUGGUUAAGCGAACCCUGUCCACCCUCCUACGGUUCCUCCUGGAUCAUCAAGAAGCCUCAACGGAAUCAGCACUACCUCACUGUUCCAGACUCGCAACCAUCUCCCCCCUGGCGGAUUGCCCCACCCGAAUAUCAGACGGCCUUCCUGGAAACUUCGCUCUUUGUACAUUUCACAAAUUGUCAAUAAAUUCUUUAAAAGU